CCGCUCCCCUUUGCAGCACAUAUACUAAAAUUACAACGAUAUCAGAGAAGAUUAGCAUACCCCCCUCACAAGGAUGACACACAAAUUCCUGAAGCCUUCCAUAUUUUU
rnacentral:snRNA from 1 species